UACGAAGGGGGCUAGCGUUGCUCGGAAUCACUGGGCGUAAAGGGUGCGUAGGCGGGUCUUUAAGUCAGGGGUGAAAUCCUGGAGCUCAACUCCAGAACUGCCUUUGAUACUGAAGAUCUUGAGUUCGGGAGAGGUGAGUGGAACUGCGAGUGUAGAGGUGAAAUUCGUAGAUAUUCGCAAGAACACCAGUGGCGAAGGCGGCUCACUGGCCCGAUACUGACGCUGAGGCAGA
rnacentral:rRNA from 1 species